UGCGGUAGGAUUUGGACUGGUUU
rnacentral:piRNA from 1 species